UACGUAGGGGGGCUAGCGUUGUCCGGAUUUAUUGGGCGUAAAGAGCGUGUAGGCGGCCAGGUAGGUCCGGUGUGAAAACUCGAGGCUUAACCUCGAGAUGUCAUCGGAAACCAUCUGGCUAGAGUCCGGAAGAGGAAAGUGGAAUUCCUGGUGUAGCGGUGAAAUGCGCAGAUAUCAGGAAGAACACCAAUGGCGAAAGCAGCUUUCUGGGACGGUACUGACGCUGAGAACGCAAAAGCGUGGGGAGCAAACAGG
rnacentral:rRNA from 1 species